CGCGAUACGCCCUCUGAAAAGCGUUAUUAUUGUGACCCAUGGGGAAUCCCUUCAUUUCUGAUGUCGUAGAGGAACUGAAAAGCUUUCCGACAGGGAAAGUUGUCCCCACCGGCUUUUGGUGCCUUGGGCAAAGGAAUGACGUCACCUAUCCGGGACCAACCAGACGGGCCGCUCCGGUGCUUUCACGUUCUAAUAUCUUAUGCAACUGUCUCCGCGCUCAACGGUAAUCGACGUACAGAACAUUCCGUGGGUGAACAAUUCUUAAGGUUAAUAUAUUUAGUAUUAUAUAGAUCUUAAUAAAAUUAUCAUUCUCAGAAUAUUGAUUAUCUAUUAGAAAAAAAAGUUUACACUUAUUUAAUUCAAAGCACGUAUAUUAACCUCUUAGGCACGGCUGAACUUUGCGCGGGGCUGUUUCUCUGUACGGCAGAGUUCAACGCGAAUUACGUGUAAAUGAUAAGGCACUGCAAUGUGUGACGGAUAAUGCUGUUCUUUACACGAGUACAUUGGAAUGAAGUGUUUGAUGAUUAAAUUAUAAUUUUUCUUAAA